GUUUUUAUUUCAAUAAUAUUUAUCAACCAUGAUUAGUAUUGUUUAAUAGUUUUUAUAUUAUGAAUUUCAGGAGAAGAAAACACAUGUGUCACAGAUAAUUUUGUAUUGAAUCAUCUUGCAGCCAGAGAAAAAAGUGGUGGGAGGAAACUGCAGAAGAUGAAGAGGAAAUAGGCUGGAGUCUGAUUAUGAAAUAGCUUGAAGAGAAGGAGAUUCUGACUACUGGAGACAUGAAUCUACAGUUUGAUAAGAAGAAAAUUUUGAGAGACUCAUCCACAGCAAUACACAUUUUGAGCCCUGGGGAAGGACGGGGAAGGACGAGCAACUCCAGCACCUUCUCCCCAGCUACAGUUUUCAGACAUAAGGGCAGCUCACCAACAUUUCUGGGUAAUCCAGGGUGCAAGGACGAUGACUUCUGGAAAGGGUGGCCCAAGACGUGUCCAAGCUCAUACAGUGAGCAAGCAGCAGAGCCAGAUCCAGACCAAGCCUGGGACUUCAAACCCAUGCUGUCUUUCAAGACUAUGACCAUGUCAGGUGACCUUCUUGUCCUCUUUAAACUUUUGUUAAAUUCCGCAGGUGGUUGUUAUGUGUGUUCCAAAGUCUGGGUUAACCUUACCCAUGAGCCUUACCCUCUGUGGGUGUCACGGUUGUCUCUCCAGAACCUAUUCCUCUCCUUUGAGUGGCCUGAGUACAAUUUGGGAGGCCUGAUUGGGCCUCAUGGGUGUAAGAAUACUUUAACCUCUUGACCAGUGCUUUGGUUCUUGAACAGGUGAGUGACCCAACUGUGGCCAAGAGGGUGUUCUGGAGACUUCUAGGGAAGCCUCCUGUCUGUGCCUUAGGGAGUAACGGAAGCUCCGCACUCUCUCUAGUUGGGCAGCAGCAAGGAGGUCCGUUGCUCCAAUGCUGUGAGCAGCCACUUGGGGUAAAUGAGAAGCUGGCGUAAAAUGGAAUCUGCCCAUAAGGGGUCAAAACAGGGAGAGAGCAGAAAUGGGUCUGGAAUCUCUUGUUAUUAGGAUUUACAAAAUUCCUUAUCAUCCCACCCAUUUUUUUUUUUCCCAUUGGAUUUUGAUUACUUGCAGGGCAGAGUAUCUAAGAAAUCAAACUUCCAAGGCAUUCAGUUUGCCCAGAAUGCAGUUACAUAGCUCCUGUGUUCACUGCUUUUGUUUUGGAUUUUUUUUUAAGUGCAAUAUAAUUUUCACAUAACAAAAUGCUCAGAUUUUAAAUAUUCAGUUGGAUGUGUUUUGACAAUUGUUGACUUUGUACCCAAACCAAAAGCAAAACGCAAGACAUUUCUAUUACCCUACACAUGGCCCUCUGGCCCCUUUCUAGCUGACCCCUCAGCCCUGACCCAGGCUUUCUGAUUUCCAUCAACAGUUUAAUUCGACUUGUUUCUCAACUGUACGUAAAUGAAAUAAUAUGAAAAUAACACAAUGGGAAUUCUUUUCUAGCUGAUUCCUUUGGCUCAGUAAACUGUUUCUGAGAUCCAUCUAUGUGUGUAUCAAUUCAUUCUUUUCAUUGUGGAAUAGUAUUUCAUUGUAUCAAUAUAUCAUUUCUUUGACCUUUUCAUCUUGUGGGGAUUUAGAACAAUUUCAAGACCUACCGUAGAGACUGAGGUUGUAGACCAGGGGAGUAGCUCUGUGGUUGGGUAAGUGUUCAGCAUGCAAGAGGCCUUGGGGUCAACCCGCAGCUCCAAAAAAAAAAAAAACUAACAAACAAAAUGACUAAGGCUACUGUGAACCUUCUUGUAUAUGUGUUUUUGUGGAUCUGUUUUUCUUGGGAAAAUUCCUAGGAGCGAAAAUACUGGGCAUUACAUUUACUUUGAAGUUCUAAAUAGAAGCCCUUGGAUUCUGGAUGAUUGAGUUAAGAAACCAGUGGGGCAAUUACUGAGCUCAGAAACUUCACAAGAUCACAGUGGAAUUUCAAACUCACCCUCUAUUAUUUUUUUUUAAUGUGGUGCUGGGAAUUGAACCCAGGGCUUGGUGCAUAACUUAUAAGCACAGACUGUACCACUGAGCAACAUCCCCAGCCUAUUUUUUUGAGGGGGUGUGUGGGGAGGAGGGAUAUUAAUCAUUACCAAAAUAUCAGAGCAUGUCAUCAGUGUGUGCCCAGUAUGCACUCUAGACACUUGGCCUCAUACAUGACCUCCUCAGCUCUUACUUAGUAGCCUUUUGACCUUGGGCAAAUUAUUAACCUCUCAGAUCCUCAGUUCCCUAUCUAUAACAUAAGGAUUAAAAAUAACAUUGACUUCAUAGGGUUUUUGUGAGAAAUUAAGUGAAGUAAUGCAUAUAAGGCCUUUAUCAAAUUAUCUGAUACAAACUGGGCACGGUGGAGCAGGCCUGUAAUCCCACCAACUCAGGAGUCUGAGACAGGAGGCUCUCGAGUUCAAAGCCAGCCUCAGCAACUUAAUGGGGCCCUAGGCAACUUAGUAAGACCCUGUUUCAAAAUAAAAAAUAAAAAGGCUUAGUGGGUCAGUGCAUCUGGGUUCAAUCCCCAUUAAAGUCUGAUACAUAAAAUAGCUAAAAAUUAUUAAACCAUUAUGAUUCUCAUAAUGUAGCCUCUUACAACAACCUCGUAAAAAUUAAUUCCCCAUUUUCAGCAGCAAUAAGCGAUUUGUCCUAGUUACAGAAUCAAGAGUGUGAUUCAAAUUUUAGGUCUAUUUUGGCACCAAAGCCUGAGCCAGUUCUACUAUACUGUUCCAGAGAGAGAUUUUUUCCCCCCCAGAUUACAUCGUUCAACCUUUAUAGGACUCCUUUAGGGUGAUUUCUGUGAAUAUGGAAAGAACAAAAGGCUCGAAGAAAAGAAAGUGAACAACUAGACAAACAGUGGCCUGAGACACAGUCGCGGAGACACUUGAGGAUGGGGAACCACAGACACCCAGAGAACUUCCCAGGCUUUCCGGGGCUUCCUGGGGUUGUUCUGUAGAAAAAGACCGGAAGGAAGAGGCCUGGUACUUUUGUUUUUGCUUUUUAAGGAUUUCCCUGCCUACCCUAGUUCUUCCUCUCUUCUUUCUCUGGGGUGAUUGGUUCGCUGUUGGCAUGGGGCGGAUUGCAGAUGGAGCACUCAAAUGAGCUGAGGAGGGUGACUUGAGUUUAAUAAAGGGAUGAUCAUGAACGUGUGAGGGGAAGAAGAGGGCAGAGAACACAGUGUGGAGAGGCCAUUCCCCCAGCACCUGAGGAGACCAGGGCAGGCGUGGCGCCUGCUUCACAGAGGGGAGGUAUGCCCCAUGGUGGUUGUGCUGUUUGGUGCAGGGACACAAGACACCU